rnacentral:rRNA from 1 species
GCUUACACAUGCAGUCGAACGGCAGCACAGUAAGAGCUUGCUCUUAUGGGUGGCGAGUGGCGGACGGGUGAGGAAUACAUCGGAAUCUACUCUUUCGUGGGGGAUAACGUAGGGAAACUUACGCUAAUACCGCAUACGACCUACGGGUGAAAGCGGAGGACCUUCGGGCUUCGCGCGAUUGAAUGAGCCGAUGUCGGAUUAGCUAGUUGGCGGGGUAAAGGCCCACCAAGGCGACGAUCCGUAGCUGGUCUGAGAGGAUGAUCAGCCACACUGGAACUGAGACACGGUCCAGACUCCUACGGGAGGCAGCAGUGGGGAAUAUUGGACAAUGGGCGCAAGCCUGAUCCAGCCAUGCCGCGUGGGUGAAGAAGGCCUUCGGGUUGUAAAGCCCUUUUGUUGGGAAAGAAAAGCAGUCGGUUAAUACCCGAUUGUUCUGACGGUACCCAAAGAAUAAGCACCGGCUAACUUCGUGCCAGCAGCCGCGGUAAUACGAAGGGUGCAAGCGUUACUCGGAAUUACUGGGCGUAAAGCGUGCGUAGGUGGUGGUUUAAGUCUGUUGUGAAAGCCCUGGGCUCAACCUGGGAAUU